rnacentral:lncRNA from 1 species
UUAGUAUAUUACGUUAGCACUUUGAAACACUUUCAAUUUACUAACGGCAAUAUGCCGUCACCAUUUUGAAAUGUUUUUUAAAAAAAAAUUGUUAUAUCUAUAAUCCCAAGCCUGCACAGAUGCUACCACUGCAAUACAAAUAUGCAUAACAUAAAUUUUAUACAAGUAUUAAAGUUACAAAGCAUUCUUGCUUCAAAGAUUUGACUGCCAUAUAACAAAACAAAACUAAUAGAGGCCAUGAGCAACAAGUAGAUAUAAUUGUUUUCGAGAAAACACUAAGCGAUUGCAUCAAGAGCACUGAUGGCCUCAAGGAGAAGAAUUUUGGGGUCCUUCAAUAUAGCUCUCUCAAUGGAAAUUCUCUGUCUCUGCCCGCCACGAGUGCUCUCCCACCUGGUUCAGUAUGAUGUUUAGAAAACAGAGUUAUUUAUAUUUUCUGUUAUUAGUUCAAUCUGAGAUAUGUUGGAUAAUAAACUAGAGCAGUAUAUCAAUUCCUAAAUGUAAUACAUGCCAACAGUAAUUAACUCAAGGGGUUUCAUGACAGUUCACAUUGUUUUGCAAAAAAAGAAAAAGAAAAUGCACAGAAGCUUGCCAAGAAAUGGAUAUAUGAAAUUGUGAUCACUCAGUGUUUCGCAUUUACUGGAUUCAAAAAGUACAGGCUUAUAAUCAUGUAGUAAGUUGCCUAAUAAAUUCAGGCAUUGUCAAAUCAAAUACAUAUUCAAUUAGUUCAUGUCCAAAAUGAAUCCGAAAAUAUUUACCUUCCCUACAAGCAGCUCCCAUAAGACAAUCUUGAAACUUAUUAAAAACGUCCAUCUUGUGAUCAAAUGGCUUGCGCUCUAUGACCUAUAAUAAACACUAUUGUUAAAGAGGAUACAUGACAUUAGUUUAAGAAAAUAAAUGAAGAUCCUUAAGCAACCUAGUGAUUCAUCAUAUUCAAUAAUAAACAAGAUUAAGAUUGAAAAAGCUAUACGGCAGAGAAGUUCAUUACCUUCGUUGUGAGCAGGACCCAUAAUUGGAACUUUUGUUUUUUAUUUCAAAAAACAUCAGCUCUUACAUAGUUUUCAUAUAUCUGGACAGUUGGAAAAAAAAUGGAUUACACAAUCUGGUGCCUUAUUUCAAUAUUGAGAAAAUUGCACGGAAGAAACACUUUAAUUUCGUGCCACAUAUUGAAUGCACUGAGAAGAUAUUUUAAUUGAGGUAUAUAAAGAGUUACACUGUUUGAACACUAGACAAUUCCUAAGUUUAUAUUAUCUAAUGAAAGGCAUUUGGAUGGGUUAGCUAAGAAUAUACAGAAUGUUUAAAAUCAGAUUCAUUACCACCCAGUGGUUUCUACAAUCAAAAAAAAAAAAAAAAAGACAGCAGGACAAAGUUCUUUCAGAGAGAGUUGCACUUACCAAGAACUUGGUGAUCACUGCCUUUUCAGGUCUGGGUUCAAUAGCUUUUCAAAAGUUUUCUACGACUUUAAGUAUUGCUUCAGAAUGGCCCGUUCAGUCCUUGUGACAAACAACCAUACACACCUUAACACGUUUAAAAUUUAACAUCACAGUCAACUAGUAACAAAAAAAUCUGCACGGUCACAAUACCGGCCUAAACAAGAUGAAUAAGAUAUUAACUCAAUAUUAUUAGAGAUUACCUAUACUGGCUUGCAUUUUGACCUUCCUUAACAAUAUAAUUCUAUAUAGGGAAUCCAUGUCCUCUGAAGUACUUAUCCAACAUGUCUUUAACUCCCACAACUACACCAUAUACCAAUAACAUAAUAAUGGAAAAAAAAAACAUAUAUACCUAACCAUCAAUAGUAGUGCCAGAAGUAUGAGGUGUGAUGGCUUGAUUUGGCAUGCCAUGGAUCCUUUGGAGCUGGUUGUGACACCAAACAUCCCCACUAUAAGUCUAUAACCUGCACAUUUCAGUACAUUGGGUGAAAAAUACAUACAUGGAAAUUUUCUGGUCCAUUGGGUUGAAAUGUUGGACCUGCAACAAUGUGUGAAGGAGAGUUUUGGGGGGUUGUUAGCAGCAAAUGUAAUGCAGAAACAGAAUAUGCAGAGAAGAGGUUGGUAGAAAACAAUUCUUAUCCUACCAUUAUCAACAUGAACACUAUUGUACAAGGGAACUACUUACUAGUACUCCAUUGACUAUGGAAAAUUUCAAAUAUAGAAAUACCACAAACUUGUCAGCCUACUAGAUAUUUCAUCAAACACAUGCAGUUCAUCUUCAAUAUCAUCACAUUAACAAGUAGAAUCUGUAUUGCUAUAAACCCAACAAUACAGUAAAAAAAAAUUUGUGUUUCGUAUCUCAAUCAAUGUGUUGAUUAAUUAUCUUUGGUUUUAAUAUUGCAAGAUAGAAAAUUUUAACAAAAAUGAGAAAACAAAACAAAAUUGAUCUAAUGGAUUGUUGUCAUUGAGAAUAAAAGAUGAAUUACAUAAGCUAAAGCAGAUGAAGUGUUAAAUUGAUGAAUAAUGAUAGAUUAACAAACCUUGUAAACUUAAUUCGUAACCAACAGUGAAAUUACAGAACUGAGAGGCUUUACAUUGAAAUCGAAAAAAAAUUAAAGGGGUUGUAUAGAGAUGAGAGACAUCUGAUCGAGGGAGAGAGGGGAUUCAGUUUGUUAACGCCUUGGUGUGCUUUCACGUGAGAUAUACAUGGGACAAAUUUCGCAUUUUCCGGAUAAGUUUCUACAGGUAGUAACGAA